UGUCUCAAAGAUUAAGCCAUGCAUGUCUAAGAAUAAACCGAAUAUGGUAAAUCCGCGAAUGGCUCAUUACAACAGCCAUAAUUUAUUGGAUCUAACAUCCUACUUGGAUACCUGUGGAAAAUCCAGAGCUAAUACAUGCACCAACAGCCAACUUCGGAAGGCUGGCAAUUAUUAGUACAAGACCAAUUGGCUUCGGCCAUCUAUUGGUGAAUCUGAAUAACUACGCUGAUCGCACGAGCUCGUCUCGGCGACAUAUCCUUCAAGUGUCUGCCUUAUCAACUGUCGAUGGUAGUUUAUUGGACUACCAUGGUUGUAACGGGUAACGGAGAAUUAGGGUUCGACUCCGGAGAGGGAGCCUGAGAUACGGCUACCACAUCCAAGGAAGGCAGCAGGCGCGCAAAUUACCCACUCUCAGAACGAGGAGGUAGUGACGAAAAAUAACGAGACAGUCUUCUAUGAGGUCUGUCAUCGGAAUGGGUACAAUUUAAACCCUUUAACGAGGAUCUAUUGGAGGGCAAGUCUGGUGCCAGCAGCCGCGGUAAUUCCAGCUCCAAUAGCGUAUAUUAAAGUUGUUGCGGUUAAAAAGCUCGUAGUUGGAUCUGCGACCAUCAAGACUGGUAGCCCAUUGGGUUUCACUGGUUCUUGUGGUCUCCUUACUGGUUUUUCCUUGGUGCUCUUAAUUGAGUGCCUUGGUUGGCUAGUGCUUUUACUUUGAAAAAAUUAGAGUGCUCAAAGCAGGCGUUUGCCUGAAUAGUGGUGCAUGGAAUAAUGGAAUAGGACCUCGGUUCUAUUUUGUUGGUUUUCGGAGCUCGAGGUAAUGAUUAAGAGGGACAGACGGGGGCAUUCGUACUGCUGCGUUAGAGGUGAAAUUCUUGGAUCGCAGCAUGACGAACAACUGCGAAAGCAUUUGCCAAGAAUGUUUUCAUUAAUCAAGAACGAUAGUUAGAGGUUCGAAGGCGAUCAGAUACCGCCCUAGUUCUAACCGUAAACGAUGCCAACUAGCAAUCCGCUGGCGUUAAUUUUGACUCAGCGGGCGGCUGCCCGGAAACGAUAAGUUUUUCGGUUCCGGGGGAAGUAUGGUUGCAAAUCCGAAACUUAAAGGAAUUGACGGAAGGGCACCACCAGGAGUGGAGCCUGCGGCUUAAUUUGACUCAACACGGGAAAACUCACCCGGCCCGGACACUGUAAGGAUUGACAGAUUGAAAGCUCUUUCACGAUUCAGUGGGUGGUGGUGCAUGGCCGUUCUUAGUUGGUGGAGCGAUUUGUCUGGUUAAUUCCGAUAACGAACGAGACUCUAGCCUACUAAAUAGUGCGUGGAUCUUCAAGUCCUCGCUACUUCUUAGAGGGACAGACGGCGUCUAGCCGUACGAAAUUGAGCAAUAACAGGUCUGUGAUGCCC
rnacentral:rRNA from 1 species